rnacentral:tRNA from 3 species
GGGCCUGUAGCUCAGUCGGCAGAGCAUCGGACUUUUAAUCCGCGGGUCGAGGGUUCGAUCCCCUCCGGGCCCACCG